UUGUGAUGAUAAUACGACUUC
rnacentral:miRNA from 1 species